rnacentral:rRNA from 1 species
AGAGUUUGAUCAUGGCUCAGAGUGAACGCUGGCGGCAGGCCUAACACAUGCAAGUCGAACGGCAGCACAGCAGUAGCAAUACUGUGGGUGGCGAGUGGCGGACGGGUGAGGAAUACAUGGGAAUCUACCCUGUCGUGGGGGAUAACGUAGGGAAACUUACGCUAAUACCGCAUACGACCGAGAGGUGAAAGCGGCGGACCGCAAGGCGUCGCGCGAUUGGAUGAGCCCAUGUCGGAUUAGCUAGUUGGCGGGGUAAAGGCCCACCAAGGCGACGAUCCGUAGCUGGUCUGAGAGGAUGAUCAGCCACACUGGAACUGAGACACGGUCCAGACUCCUACGGGAGGCAGCAGUGGGGAAUAUUGGACAAUGGGCGCAAGCCUGAUCCAGCCAUGCCGCGUGGGUGAAGAAGGCCUUCGGGUUGUAAAGCCCUUUUGUCCGGAAAGAAAAGCUUCGGGUUAAUACCCCGGGGUCCUGACGGUACCGGAAGAAUAAGCACCGGCUAACUUCGUGCUAGCAGCUGCGGUAAUACGAAGGGUGCAAGCGUUACUCGGAAUUACUGGGCGUAAAGCGUGCGUAGGUGGUUUGUUAAGUCUGAUGUGAAAGCCCUGGGCUCAACCUGGGAAUUGCAUUGGAUACUGGCAGGCUAGAGUGCGGUAGAGGGUAGUGGAAUUCUCGGUGUAGCAGUGAAAUGCGUAGAGAUCGGGAGGAACACCAGUGGCGAAGGCGACUACCUGGACUAGCACUGACACUGAGGCACGAAAGCGUGGGGAGCAAACAGGAUUAGAUACUCUGAUAGUCCACGCUCUAAACGAUGCGAACUGGAUGUUGGGAGCAACUAGGCUCUCAGUAUCGAAGCUAACGCGUUAAGUUUGCCGCCUGGGGAGUACGGUCGCAGACUGGAACUCAAAGGAAUUG